rnacentral:rRNA from 1 species
UAUGUGAUCGUCUCUUGCAUAUCAAUAAGCGGAGGAAAAGAAACUAACAAGGAUUCCCCUAGUAACGGCGAGUGAAGCGGGAAGAGCUCAAAUUUGAAAUCUUAAAGGGUUUCCCUUUACGAAUUGUAGUUUAAAGAAGUGUUUUCUGUUGAGGUUUUGGUAAAAGUUCUUUGGAAUAGGACAUCAUAGAGGGUGAGAAUCCCGUAUUUGACCUUUACUUUCAACUUUGUGAUACACUUUCAAAGAGUCGGAUUGUUUGGGAAUGCAGUCCAAAAUGGGUGGUAAAUUUCAUCUAAAGCUAAAUAUUGGCGAGAGACCGAUAGCGAACAAGUACCGUGAGGGAAAGAUGAAAAGAACUUUGAAAAGAGAGUUAAACAGUACGUGAAAUUGUCAAAAGGGAAGCGUUUGACACCAGUGUUGUUUUUCUGAAAAUCAAUUAAAGAACUGUUUAUGCUAAGUUGUUUAGACUUUAUCAGCUAUCUGCUUAGUUUUGAGCUUUUCUUUAAUGCACUUUUCAGUUAACAAGUCAACAUCAAUUUCUUUUCGCUGUAAAAAAGCUUGAGGAAGGUGGCUUGAGAUUCGUCUUAAGUGUUUAUAGCCUCUCGCCUAUGCAGUCGGAGAGAUUGAGGUCUGCAGCGUAGAUCCUCCGGGGCUAAAUGCAUUUGUGCUAAGUUAUAGCAUUUUAUAGACAACUUGUUGACUAUGAUUUGUCUUGUAGCUUACUCGCUUAUGUUAUUUUACCUACGCUUAGGAUGUUGAAGUCAUCGUAUCGCGC